GGGGCGGUAGCUCAGCCCGGGAGAGCGCCCGGCUGAAGACCGGGUUGUCGUGGGUUCAAAUCCCACCCGCCCCA
rnacentral:tRNA from 1 species